UUUGCAACAUUUAAAAAACGUUGCGAAAAGUCUACCUUUUGCAACGUUUUUUAAACGUUGCAAAAAUUAAAACUUUUCGUAACUUUCCAAAAA
rnacentral:sRNA from 1 species